UCCGAGUUGACCCCGGCAGUCUCCUAUGAGUCCCCACCAUCACGUGCUGGCAACAUAGGACGGGGGUUGCGCUCGUUGCGGGACUUAACCCAACAUCUCACGACACGAGCUGACGACAACCAUGCACCACCUGUGCACGGCCCUUACGGACCCCGCAUCUCUGCGAGAUUUCCGUGCAUGUCAAGCCUAGGUAAGGUUCUUCGCGUUGCAUCGAAUUGAACCACAUGCUCCACCGCUUGUGCGGGCCCCCGUCAAUUCCUUUGAGUUUCAACCUUGCGGUCGUACUUCCCAGGUGGAUUACUUAAUGCUUUCGCUCAGACACCAACAGUGUAUCGCUGAUGUCGAGUAAUCAUCGUUUAGGGCGUGGACUAC
rnacentral:misc_RNA from 1 species